rnacentral:rRNA from 1 species
GACGAACGCUGGCGGCGCGCCUAAUACAUGCAAGUCGAACGCUUUGAUUUUCACCGGAGCUUGCUCCACCGAAAAUCAAAGAGUGGCGGACGGGUGAGUAACACGUGGGCAACCUGCCCAACAGAGGGGGAUAACACUUGGAAACAGGUGCUAAUACCGCAUAAUUUGUUUUUCCGCAUGGAAGAAUAAUAAAAGACGCUUCGGUGUCACUGUUGGAUGGGCCCGCGCUGCAUUAGUUAGUUGGUGGGGUAACGGCCUACCAAGACCAUGAUGCAUAGCCGACCUGAGAGGGUGAUCGGCCACACUGGGACUGAGACACGGCCCAGACUCCUACGGGAGGCAGCAGUAGGGAAUCUUCGGCAAUGGACGAAAGUCUGACCGAGCAACGCCGCGUGAGUGAAGAAGGUUUUCGGAUCGUAAAACUCUGUUGUUAGAGAAGAACAAGUGAGAGAGUUACUGUUCUCACCUUGACGGUAUCUAACCAGAAAGCCACGGCUAACUACGUGCCAGCAGCCGCGGUAAUACGUAGGUGGCAAGCGUUGUCCGGAUUUAUUGGGCGUAAAGCGAGCGCAGGCGGUUUCUUAAGUCUGAUGUGAAAGCCCUCGGCUCAACCGAGGAAGGUCAUUGGAAACUGGGGAACUUGAGUGCAGAAGAGGAGAGUGGAAUUCCAUGUGUAGCGGUGAAAUGCGUAGAUAUAUGGAGGAACACCAGUGGCGAAGGCGACUCUCUGGUCUGUAACUGACGCUGAGGCUCGAAAGCGUGGGGAGCAAACAGG